rnacentral:rRNA from 1 species
AGUGAACGCUGGCGGUAGGCCUAACACAUGCAAGUCGAACGGCAGCACAGUAAGAGCUUGCUCUUACGGGUGGCGAGUGGCGGACGGGUGAGGAAUACAUCGGAAUCUACUUUUUCGUGGGGGAUAACGUAGGGAAACUUACGCUAAUACCGCAUACGACCUACGGGUGAAAGCAGGUGAUCUUCGGACCUUGCGCGAUUGAAUUAGCCGAUGUCGGAUUAGCUAGUUGGCGGGGUAAAGGCCCACCAAGGCGACGAUCCGUAGCUGGUCUGAGAGGAUGAUCAGCCACACUGGAACUGAGACACGGUCCAGACUCCUACGGGAGGCAGCAGUGGGGAAUAUUGGACAAUGGGCGCAAGCCUGAUCCAGCCAUACCGCGUGGGUGAAGAAGGCCUUCGGGUUGUAAAGCCCUUUUGUUGGGAAAGAAAAGCAGCAGGUUAAUACCCCGCUGUUCUGACGGUACCCAAAGAAUAAGCACCGGCUAACUUCGUG